rnacentral:rRNA from 1 species
UCGAACGAGAUCUUCGGAUCUAGUGGCGCACGGGUGCGUAACGCGUGGNAAUCUGCCCNUGGGUUCGGAAUAACAGUUAGAAAUGACUGCUAAUACNCGGAUGAAGUCUACGGACCAAAGAUUUAUCGCCCANGGGAUGAGCCCGCGUAGGAUUAGCUAGUUGGUGGGGUAAAGGCCCACCAAGGCGACGAUCAGUAGCUGGUCUGAGAGGACGAUCAGCCACACUGGGACUGAGACACGGCCCAGACUCCUACGGGAGGCAGCAGUGGGGAAUUUUGGACAAUGGGGGCAACCCUGAUCCAGCAAUGCCGCGUGUGUGAAGAAGGCCUUCGGGUUGUAAAGCACUUUUGUCCGGAAAGAAAUCGCGCUGGUUAAUACCUGGCGUGGAUGACGGUACCGGAAGAAUAAGCACCGGCUAACUACGUGCC